CUGAAAAUGAGUUUGUUUACGUCAACCGAAAGCACGUGCACACUGUUAAUGUUCAAGUUAUAUAUGAUGAACAUAUGAUCUUAACAAACAUGGCGGCACGUUGGCCUGGUGCAACACAUGAUUCCUUUAUUCUGACACACAGUAGUGUAGGGAACAGACUACAGGCAGGCGCGGGGCGGGUUGGCUGGCUUCUAGGUGAGUUUUAAAGAGAGGAAAAAUGUAACAUUGUGGUUCUUGACAUAACUAAUGAUUUUCUGCCUUGCAGGUGACAGUGGAUACCCCUUGAGACGCUGGCUCCUCACCCCGGUUUUGAACGCGUACAGCGCAGGGGAACAUCGGUACAAUGACGUCCAUGCCCGUGCUCGGUCAGUGGUGGAGCGCGCCAUCAGCCUCCUGAAGUGCCGGUGGCGCGCUCUGGAUGCGUCGGGGGGAGGCUUUUAUACCAGCCUGCCAAAGUGUGCCGCAUUAUAAGAGCCUGCGGCGUGUUGCACAAUUUGGCCCAGAGGACCGGCAUCCCUCUCCCCCCCGACCUCCCUCCCCCCGAGCUUGACCCGGAGGCCGAGCCCCCUCCGAGCUGCAGAACUGUUUCUGUGAGCACCCGACUGGCGGACUGACGUGUGGUGGUGGGGGCAGCCGGAUGACCUGCGAUCGAGGGCCCCUCGCCGGCAUCAUCUUCUCCUCCUCCCCACCGAUCGCUGACUCUGGAUGACGCACAAGCAAAAUAUCUUGCACAAUAUAUGAUCUAUAAAAAGAAUCUAUAAAAAACAGAAAUCAGCUUUACUUUUGCUGCGCACACUGUGAUUUAUAAAGCAAAGAUCGCUUACAGGUGUGCCUACGCCUAUUUUUUGGCUCACAAAAAACUUGGCUUUCGGGCGUACAGUUUUAUUAAUUAGACCCCUGGUGAUGACGCUUUCCCGGCAGUUUAGACGCUGUUCAGCGUAUUACUGACGUCCAGAGGUCAGAUGUUGAACUACAUUUUACAUACAGUCAUGUAUUGUGCAGGAACUGCAUAAUUGCCUUGGAGAUCAAUUGGUUGUUCUCACUGUGUCCAAACAAAGUAAUAUAUAAUAUAUAUAUAUAAUUUAUAAAUAUAAUAUAUGUCUUUCUAUCCAUCUACUUCUCUUCUCAAACUCUGUUUUGCAAUCAGAUCCAUUCCCCCCAACGCCAAUGUGUCCAGGGACCCAGCAAAAGACUCGACUCCUCCCAGACCCACUAGUCGCUGACUCGCUGUUCGUUCACUGACUGUGAGUGGUUGUUAUAGCCACUGUUUGUUUGUUGCUGCCUUUUUGUUUCCCCUCUGUUAUGCGCAGGUGCGAGUCAUUAACAAUUCAUCAUCAUCCCGCCUCUACCAACCAGCUUCCACCAAUCACCUCAUCAGUUUCCAAUCAGGGGAGGCCUGCCACACACAUAAAAGCCAGUUUAACUUGUCUCUUACUCUCUCUCCUUUUUGUCCCGUUUGUGGUUCGGGGACUGGUUUUGCUGUGGAAUGGUUAGAGCAUUUUUUGAUUAUAUACAUAUCUAAGAGAUGUACAUAUAUUGUUCCGUAACCCUAACCCUAAUAGUGACCCCCUUUGUUAGUUCCCCCAUGUUUUUUUGUCUUUGUGGCUACCUUGCGGUCUUGGGACAGGUAAGACAGAGGAGUGUUGCUACCCGCUGUACUUUUGGCUUAGUUUAGUUAGGUUAGAGGACUUGUGGUCCGCUGUGUUGGCUGUUAGCUCAGCUUGUUUUGUUGGAGUUUUUUCUUUGGCAAGUCCCAAGGCCAAGGCUUUGUCGUAUGUUACUGUUGUGUAAUCGGCCCUAUUAAACCUAUGUUCAAC
ensembl:lncRNA